CCUACGGGUGGCAGCAGUGGGGAAUAUUGGGCAAUGGGCGCAAGCCUGACCCAGCAACGCCGCGUGAAGGAAGAAGGCUUUCGGGUUGUAAACUUCUUUUGUCAGGGACGAAGCAAGUGACGGUACCUGACGAAUAAGCCACGGCUAACUACGUGCAAGCAGCCGCGGUAAUACGUAGGUGGCAAGCGUUAUCCGGAUUUAUUUGGUGUAAAGGGCGUGUAGGCGGGAAUUCAAGUCAGAUGGUAAAACUAUGGGCUCAACCCAUAGCCUGCAUUUGAAACUGUAUGUCUUGAGUGCUGGAGAGGCAAUCGGAAUUCCUGGUGUAGCGGUGAAAUGCGUAGAUAUACGGAGGAACACCAGUGGCGAAGGCGGAUUGCUGGACAGUAACUGACGCUGAGGCGCGAAAGCGUGGGGAGCAAACAGGAUUAGAUACCCUGGUAGUC
rnacentral:rRNA from 1 species